rnacentral:rRNA from 1 species
UACGUAGGGGGCAAGCGUUGUCCGGAUUUACUGGGCGUAAAGCGCGCGUAGGCGGAAGGGCCGGUCCGGCCUGAAAGCCCCCGGCCUCGAACCGGGGAGAGUGGCUGGAAACUGCCUUUCUUGAGGGCGAGAGAGGAGGGUGGAAUUCCUGGUGUAGCGGUGAAAUGCGUAGGAGAUCAGGAGGAACACCCGUGGCGAAGGCGGCCCUCUGGCUCGACCCUGACGCUGAGGCGCGAAAGCGUGGGGAGCGAACGGG